rnacentral:tRNA from 1 species
GGAGAGGUGGCAGAGUGGUCGAUUGCGACGGUCUUGAAAACCGUUGAUCCGCAAGGAUCCGUGGGUUCGAAUCCCACCCUCUCCGCCA